CAAUAGCGUAUAUUAAAGUUGUUGCAGUUAAAAAGCUCGUAGUUGAAUUUCUGGCGGGCGCGCCGGUCUUCCAAGUGUUGUACUGGGCGCAGUCCGCCAUCCUUGUGGAGAGGGCUCGCAUUGAGUUGCGUGUCGGAUCUGCAUCAUUUACUGUGAAAAAAUUAGAGUGUUUAAAGCAGGCUGUCGCUUGAAUACAUUAGCAUGGAAUAAUAAGAUAGGACUUCGGUCUAUUUUGUUGGUUGCGAACCGAGGUAAUGAUUAAUAGGGAUAGUUGGGGGUAUUCAUAUUUAAUUGUCAGAGGCGAAAUUCUUGGAUUUAUGAAAGAUGAACAACUGCGAAANCANNNACCAAGGAUGUUUUCAUNAA
rnacentral:rRNA from 1 species